AUGGAGGUCUCAGCAGUGUUCGCCUAGUCGAGUGUCCGUUUUGAGUUCCAGACACUCAACGGCAAAACACUGCUGUUCGGGAGUUUAAGAUGGCCGCUGCCACGUGUUCAUUUCCCGAAUGGCGGACACCCCUGAGAACAAAGGAUUGCUACACAGCUUGUCAAUUACCCGUUCGCAACAAUUUUGCAACGGGUAAUUGAAGGCACACUUCACACAGGGGAGGUCUGACUGUUCGGUAGUUUCAUUCGAACAAACUAAGGGAAUGAAACUACCUAACAUUCAGAUGAAUCCAAUACAUUUUACACAUAGAACUUAGCUAGUUUACAC